GAUGAACGCUGGCGGCGUGCCUAAUACAUGCAAGUCGAGCGGACAGACGAGGAGCUUGCUCCUCUGACGUUAGCGGCGGACGGGUGAGUAACACGUGGAUAACCUACCUAUAAGACUGGGAUAACUUCGGGAAACCGGAGCUAAUACCGGAUAAUAUAUUGAACCGCAUGGUUCAAUAGUGAAAGACGGUUUUGCUGUCACUUAUAGCUGGAUACGCGCCGCAUUAGCUAGUUGGUAAGGUAACGGCUUACCAAGGCAACGAUGCGUAGCCGACCUGAGAGGGUGAUCGGCCACACUGGAACUGAGACACGGUCCAGACUCCUACGGGAGGCAGCAGUAGGGAAUCUUCCGCAAUGGGCGAAAGCCUGACGGAGCAACGCCGCGUGAGUGAUGAAGGUCUUCGGAUCGUAAAACUCUGUUAUUAGGGAAGAACAAAUGUGUAAGUAACUAUGCACGUCUUGACGGUACCUAAUCAGAAAGCCACGGCUAACUACGUG
rnacentral:rRNA from 1 species